GUAGGUGGCAAGCGUUGUCCGGAAUUAUUGGGCGUAAAGCGCGCGCAGGCGGUUCUUUAAGUCUGAUGUGAAAGCCCACGGCUCAACCGUGGAGGGUCAUUGGAAACUGGAGAACUUGAGUACAGAAGAGGAAAGCGGAAUUCCACGUGUAGCGGUGAAAUGCGUAGAGAUGAGGAGGAACACCAGUGGCGAAGGCGGCUUUCUGGUCUGUAACUGACGCUGAGGCGCGAAAGCGUGGGGGAGCAAACAGGAUUAGAUACCCUGGUAGUCCACGCCGUAAACGAUGAGUGCUAAGUGUUAGGGGGUUUCCGCCCCUUAGUGCUGCAGCUAACGCAUUAAGCACUCCGCCUGGGAGUACGGCCGCAAGGCUG
rnacentral:rRNA from 1 species